UACGGACGGGGCAAGCGUUGUUCGGAAUCAUUGGGCGUAAAGGGCGCGUAGGUGGUUCUGUAUGUCUACCGUGAAAGCGUACGGCUCAACCGUAUUUUGUCGGUAGAAACUGCAGGACUUGGGGCUGGGAGGGGCUGGUGGAAUUCCCUGUGUAGCGGUGAAAUGCGUAGAGAUGGGGGAGAACACUCGUGGCGAAGGCGGCCAGCUAGACCAGUUCUGACACUGAGGCGCGAAAGCGUGGGGAGCAAACAGG
rnacentral:rRNA from 1 species